GACGAACGCUGGCGGCGUGCCUAAUACAUGCAAGUAGAACGCUGAAGGAGGAGCUUGCUUCUCUGGAUGAGUUGCGAACGGGUGAGUAACGCGUAGGUAACCUGCCUGGUAGCGGGGGAUAACUAUUGGAAACGAUAGCUAAUACCGCAUAAUAGUAGAUGUUGCAUGACAUUUGCUUAAAAGGUGCAAUUGCAUCACUACCAGAUGGACCUGCGUUGUAUUAGCUAGUUGGUGGGGUAACGGCUCACCAAGGCGACGAUACAUAGCCGACCUGAGAGGGUGAUCGGCCACACUGGGACUGAGACACGGCCCAGACUCCUACGGGAGGCAGCAGUAGGGAAUCUUCGGCAAUGGACGGAAGUCUGACCGAGCAACGCCGCGUGAGUGAAGAAGGUUUUCGGAUCGUAAAGCUCUGUUGUAAGAGAAGAACGAGUGUGAGAGUGGAAAGUUCACACUGGACG
rnacentral:rRNA from 1 species